rnacentral:rRNA from 1 species
UACGGAGGGUGCGAGCGUUAAUCGGAAUUACUGGGCGUAAAGCGCGCGUAGGCGGUAUGUCAAGUCAAGGGUGAAAUCCCCGGGCUCAACCCGGGAACUGCCUUUGAAACUGUCAAACUGGAGUGUGUGAGAGGGUGGCGGAAUUCCAGGUGUAGGAGUGAAAUCCGUAGAUAUCUGGAGGAACACCAGUGGCGAAGGCGGCCACCUGGCACAUAACUGACGCUGAGGUGCGAAAGCGUGGGUAGCAAACAGG